rnacentral:lncRNA from 1 species
CUGUCCAGGCAAGUCGCAUUUGACAUUUGAGACUUAUAAAUCGCAUUUGACACCUGCGAUUUGCCUCAGCCCCAGAAAAACAGCAGUCUUUCCUGAUACGGAAAUGGGCAUAACUCUCUCAUACGGUGUCUGAAUGAUGAAUGGUUUAACUUUCUGGAAAUUAGACACCAAGGGCUAAAACUUUCAUAUUUUGAUCAUCUCCCAAUUCCUUAUAGAUGGCGAGAUAUAAGCUCCCAAAAUCAGUCUUGGGCAGCAGAAUUUUCUCAAAACGACAAGUCAAGUCAUUACAAAUAUAAUUUUAAGAGAACGACAAAAUUAUUUAUUUUAUGUUUUUUAAAGAAGAAGAUAUGUUUUCAUUUUUUUAUGUAUAUGACUAAUUUAAUUAUAUAGGUAUAUACUUAUCCUAAAUUAGUUAAUCAUGUUAUAGAAUAUAUUCAUCAUCCCAUACAAACUCAAGAAUUAUCUAAUAUGCAAUAUUGCAAGUUAACUCGAUUAUUAUCUAGAUGCAAUUCACCCUAAGUGUUUAGCAAAUAAAUAACAUCAAAGCAAGUAAAUAAAUACAAUAUCUAUCUACGACUUUACUAAAUAUUACGUUUCGGGUACAUUCGAGAACGGAAAGUACGAAAUGAGGUUUGACAGGAUUUUGUGUUUCGUCUCCGAGCUUGUUCUUAAAAGUGCUUCAAGCAAGAUACCUCGCAAAACAAAAGAAGCAAACAUUAGUGAAAUAAUACAAUGUAAAGAAGAUAAACUAACAUAUUUUGAAAUGUUUUUAUUUGAAAAUAUUUUUGGAAGAUUGUUUUUGAAAAUGGUUUUUGAAAAAUAGUUUAAAAAGUUAUAGGUGGCUCAGAUUGUAUUUUGAUUUCCAUCUAGACAUGAGAACGUGAACUGCCUUGGUUGCGACUACGGUGGCCAAUUGUAUCGUUGUCCAAAGGUUAUUGGUUCGUCGCAUUCUCGUCUUUUUCUUUUUCAAUAUUUAUUAUCAUCGCCUCGUUAUUUUGGGUCCGGUUCGGAGGGUCAAUCGGCGGGUCAUGGGCUCAAUAUCUUAGAAAUUAUUUUCAUCGGCCUGCAAACACAAUAUACAAGGUGAUAGAUACUGCCGAUAAAGUGGUAAUGAACAAAAUGUUCAACAGAAUCCAAACGCAGCCGACACUGAUGGCAUCAAAUGUACUAGCCAUGUUACAAGCACAAUCAAAGGAUGAUUAGCCAUGGUCGAAAUUGAACCUCAAACAUCCAUGAGACUAUUCUAACUUCUAAGAUAUAGAGUUAGUAAAAUGGCAUCACAUAAUCAACAACAUCAGAAGAAGUCAUAGAACGUUGGACAACAAUAAAUGGCAGGGCAAACAACCAAACAAAUGAGCCAGCCAAUCAACUGAGCUUAACGGUCAAGUCGCCGGAGUUCACUAUUUCUGGCCAGAUCAGAGUUAAACUCCGGCCAGAUUCCAGUGCGCUUAUAUUUUCCCAGAUGCACCAUAUCCAUACAAAAAUAAAAGGAGUUUUGCUGUUGGGGUGGUCGCCGGCCAGAUUUCGGCCAAAGUUUCCCGGCCGGAUCAGUAUCUAGCUACAAAGAACAAUGAAGGCAAACCGGUGAUGAAGUUUGACUGAAUCAAUCGAGCCAACAAACGAGCAAACCCUUCAUCUAAAGACGAAUGAGAUCGCCAGAGUUAAGCUUUUUCUGGCCAAAUCUAAAGAAACCCGUCAGAUUUGAAGAUUUUUUGCCCAGGUCUAUUAAGAUCCGACCAAAGGAUCGUCUCUGUCAUCGUGGUGACUGCCAAGCCUGCCGGUGGUCAAACCCGGCGGCGGUGAUGAAGACACAAAACGAGAGGGGGAAAGGGGUUUGCCGUUUGAGCGGUUGCGGCCAUAUCUCGGCAGUGAAAAUCUUUG